rnacentral:lncRNA from 1 species
CUCUCAUGAAAUGCAUCACAUUAUCUCGGAUGGACAUGACCACCAAAACUCCCUCCAGUGUCAGUAUGCCUGGCCCGGCCAGGUCUUACAACCUCAAUAUGCCUGGCCCGGCCAGGUCUUACAAUAUCUGUAUGCCUGGCCCGGCCAGGUCUUACAACAUGUGUAUGCCUGGCCCGGCCAGGUCUUACAACAUCUCUAGGGCUAUUGGGGUCGCCUUGGUCCAUCCACAUCAUCAUGUUCAUCAUAUUAUGCAAUGCGCCAUCUUCGUGAAACUAGUGCAAUCAACCUACUAUAAUCAUCAUGAUGCAUGAAACGUGAUAAAAGCAUUUGAUUUCUUACACAAUAAAAGAUUAAGUUGAGUUCUACUCACCUCUGGCUAACUCUUGACUGACUCUGGAUAACUCUGGACUGACUC